rnacentral:rRNA from 1 species
UACGAAGGGGGCUAGCGUUGUUCGGAAUUACUGGGCGUAAAGCGCACGUAGGCGGAAUGUUAAGUCAGGGGUGAAAUCCCGGGGCUCAACCCCGGAACUGCCUUUGAUACUGGCAUUCUCGAGUCCGGAAGAGGUGAGUGGAAUUCCGAGUGUAGAGGUGAAAUCGUUAGAUAUUCGGAGGAACACCAGUGGCGAAGGCGGCUCACUGGUCCGGUACUGACGCUGAGGUGGCGAAAGCGUGGGGAGCAAACAGG